ACUCCAGCAACCUGCUGGAUCACCAGCGCACCCACGCCGGCGACCGUCCCUACACCUGCGUCCAGUGCGGCAAGGGCUUCACACAGUCCAGCACCCUGCGGCAGCACCAGUUCACCCACACCGGCGAGCGCCCCUACACAUGCAGUGACUGCGGCAAGGGCUUCACCCGGCCCAGCAUCCUGCUGCAGCACCAGCGCCUACACACCGGCGAGCGGCCCUUCACGUGCACCCUGUGCGGUAAGGGCUUCACCCAGUCCAGCAUCCUGCUGCAGCACCAGCGCAUCCACACCUGCGAGCGCCCCUUCAUCUGCGCCCAGUGCGGCAAGGGCUUCACCCAGUCCAGCACCCUGCUGGUGCACCGGCGCCUACACACUGGCGAGCGCCCCUUCACCUGCGCCCAGUGCGGCAAGGGCUUCACCCAGUCCAGCAACCUGCUGCAGCACCAGCGGACCCACUCCGGUGAGC